UACGUAGGGUGCGAGCGUUGUCCGGAAUUAUUGGGCGUAGAGAGCUCGUAGGCGGUCUGUCACGUCGGUCGUGAAAACUUGGGGCUUAACCCUGAGCUUGCGGUCGAUACGGGCAUGACUGGAGUUCGGCAGGGGAGACUGGAAUUCCUGGUGUAGCGGUGAAAUGCGCAGAUAUCAGGAGGAACACCGGUGGCGAAGGCGGGUCUCUGGGCCGAUACUGACGCUGAGGAGCGAAAGCUAGGGGAGCGAACAGG
rnacentral:rRNA from 1 species